GGNGUUGCNUGGCUGUCGUCNGCUCGUGUCGUGAGAUGUUGGGUUAAGUCCCACAACGAGCGCAACCCUCAUCCUUAGUUACCAUCAGGUAAUGCUGGGGACUUUAAGGAAACUGCCAGUGAUAAACUGGAGGAAGGUGGGGAUGAUGUCAAGUCAUCAUGGCCCUUAUGGAGUGGGCUACACACGUGCUACAAUGGUGGCUACAAUGGGCUGCAAAGUCGCGAGGCUAAGCUAAUCCCUUAAAAGCCAUCUCAGUUCGGAUUGUACUCUGCAACUCGAGUACAUGAAGUUGGAAUCGCUAGUAAUCGUGGAUCAGCAUGCCACGGUGAAUACGUUCUCGGGUCUUGUACACACUGCCCGUCACGCCAUGGGAAUUGGUUU
rnacentral:rRNA from 1 species